UGGAACAGAGACGACGUGAUGAGUGAUGUGAAAUCUUACUUCGUAAGGAAUUGGAACAGAGAUGAUAUGAUGAAUGUGGAUGAAAUUCCCGUUGAAGUUCAUACAAGCUUGAAGAAGGUGUAUCUUACUCUCUUCUGUGCCAUGUUGAGCUCUACUUUUGGAUCGUACGUAUGAUGGAUUUCAGUAGCCGGGGGGAAAUUCACAGUCCUUCCUUAUGUAGCAAGUUUAAUCUUGAUUUACUAUACUCCACCAGGGAGAGUGAAGACGAGGGUCUUACUCUUGAUGUUGGCUGCCUGUUUAUUCGGUGCUUCUGUUAACGCUUUUACAAAUUAUCUCUUCAAAAUCGAGCAACG